rnacentral:rRNA from 1 species
CAGAAGGAUGUAGAGAUGCCUAAACAACUAGGAUGUUGGCUUAGAAGCAGCCAUCAUUUAAAGAGUGCGUAAUAGCUCACUAGUCGAGUGACUCCGCGCCGAAAAUGUACCGGGGCUAAGCAUAUUACCGAAUUUGCGGAUUCGAUACGAAAGUAUUGAGUGGUAGGGGAGCGUUCCAUAUUGGGAAGAAGCAAGAUCGAGAGGACUUGUGGACUAUAUGGAAGUGAGAAUGCCGGUGUGAGUAACGAAAAGACAGGUGAGAAUCCUGUCCGUCAAAAACCCAAGGUUUCCAGGGGAAGGGUCGUCCGCCCUGGGUAAGUCUGGGCCUAAGGUGAGGCCGAGAGGCGUAGCUGAUGGAUAUCUGGUGUAUAUUCCAGAACUAGUAUAAUGACUGAUGGAGUGACGAAGAAGGCUAGGAUCCGAUUCUUAGUGGAUUGAAUACGAGAUAUCAAGAGGGGAUGUAGGCAAAUCCGCAUCUAGAAAUCAAGAUAUGACAGGUAAAGGAUAACGAAGUCAAGCUUCCAAGAAAAGCUUCUAGGGUUAAUCAUUAUACUACCAGUACCGUAAACCGACACAGGUGGGUAGGAAGAGAAUUCUAAGACGCGCGAGAAAACCCUUGUUAAGGAACUCUGCAAGUUGGCCCCGUAAGUUCGCAAUAAGGGGAGCUCAUGUAAAAGUGAGCCACAGAAAAGAAGCCCAAGCAACUGUUUAACAAAAACACAGGUUUAUGCAAAACCGUAAGGUGAAGUAUAUGAGCUGACACCUGCCCGGUGCUGGAAGGUUAAAAGGAGAGGUUAGAGCAAUCGAAGCCUUGAAUUGAAGCCCCAGUAAACGGCGGCCGUAACUAUAACGGUCCUAAGGUAGCGAAAUUCCUUGUCAGGUAAGUUCUGACCCGCACGAAAGGUGUAAUGUCUUUGGGCACUGUCUCAACAGGGGACUCGGUGAAAUCAAACUGCCGGUGAAAAUGCCGGCUACCCGCGAUUAGACGGAAAGACCCCAUGGAGCUUUACUGUAGGUUGAUAUUGAUAUUUGGUAUGUAAUGUACAGGAUAGGUGGGAGACUAUGAAGCUAGGACGUUAGUCUUGGUGGAGUCGACGUUGGGAUACCACCCUUUGCCUAUCGAGUAUCUAACUAGUGUAAGUGGAUUACAAAGGACAGUGUCAGUUGGGCAGUUUGACUGGGGCGGUCGCCUCCUAAAGAGUAACGGAGGCGCUCGAAGGUUCCCUCAGAAUGGUUGGAAAUCAUUCGCAGAGUGUAAACGCAGAAGGGAGCUUGACUGCAAGACAAACAAGUCGAGCAGGGACGAAAGUCGGAGUUAGUGAUCUUACGGUACCGCGUGGAAGGGCCGUGACUCAACGGAUAAAAGCUACCCUGGGGAUAACAGGCUGAUCACGCCCAAGCGUUCACAGCGACGGCGUGGUUUGGCACCUCGAUGUCGGCUCGUCGCAUCCUGGAGGUGGAUAAGCUUCCAAGGGUUGGGCUGUUCGCCCAUUAAAGCGGCACGCGAGC